rnacentral:rRNA from 1 species
UACAGAGGGUGCGAGCGUUGUUCGGAAUUAUUGGGCGUAAGGGCGCGUAGGCGGUGCGGUAAGUCACCUGUGAAAUCUCCUGGCUCAACUGGGAGCUUGCAGGCGAAACUGCCGUGCUGGAGUGUGGGAGAGGUGCGUGGAAUUCCGUGGUGUAGCGGUGAAAUGCGUAGAUAUCAGGAGGAACACCUGUGGCGAAAGCGGCGCACUGGACCACAACUGACGCUGAGGCGCGAAAGCUAGGGGAGCAAACAGG